CUGCAGAGCUUAGUGCCACAUGCCUCGCUGGGGACAUAGCCCUCCUGGCUGUGUGAUGCAAGAUGGUGGAGACCUCAUCCAGCCCUGUUUGUGCAGAAAGAGAGGAGCAAAUCAAACACAGGAGUGGCAGCAGAGGUUCCCGGAGAUGUUCUGAGCCUCGUGUUUCAUUUCUGAAGGAAGUUUAUUAAUAACAAAGGGGAGAAAUUGAUCGGUGGAUCCACAGAAGGGGGAAAACUAGCAGGUGUGUUGCAAGAAUUCAGACAGGCGGAUGGAGCACAUGCAGGAGCUCUACAAUGGUGCUGUUAUGGAAAAACAAAACAAAACAAAACAAAAAAAUGAGGGAAAAGAUAUACUGCGUAGUCUCUUCAAAAAACAUGAAGAAAAAGCAGUGCAAGAAGAGAGCAUUCACCUCUCAAGUGGCUGGAUUCCAGGGGAAAAAAAGGGAAAAUUCGGGAGCAGCUUUGCUUGGCUGCCUGCAGACAAGAAGCCCCACUGGCCUCCUGCCUGCUCCUGGGCUGCCAGCGGAAGCUUUGCCAUGGACUUGGCAGCACUGUGCCCAAAUGCUGCCCGGCUUUGUGCUGCGCUUCCCGGUGGGGCCAGGAACACGGGCUGGAGGAGCUCUGCAUGGGAAAGCAGCUGCGUGUGAGCCGCCUGCUAAGCACCUCGAGGCUGCCUCUGGUCCUCACUGGAGGUUGCCUUAGCAUAAAUCAGCCUGGCCUUGCUGCCUCUGGGUUUGCCACCUUUAUGAGGACGAGCAAUGUCAUUGUCAAUGCUGAAUUUCAUGACUUUUUCAACGCUAUGAAAAAUGAAGACUCAGUAGAACAGUUCAGCCAUAGCCUGAAAGGAUGGAGGUGGUCAAGUCAGCAUUUCAUUCCUGCAUAUACACUCAGCUUUGCUCUAAGCAAAUUCCUUGGUUGCCAUGAAGCAACCCAGCAUGUCAUCCUGGACAUACUGAAUACCAAACUUAAAAUAAUAGUGAUUUGGGCAGCUGCUUUUUGAUACUGAGGGUUCAUCUGUUCACCCUGGGCCAAUACACCUAUUGAGGUCCAGAGGAGCACCCUUUGUCCUCUAGCAGAAUGGGAAACUCUUCUCCAUGA